rnacentral:rRNA from 1 species
GACGAACGCUGGCGGCGUGCUUAACACAUGCAAGUCGAACGGAGUGGCGAACGGGAGAGUAACACGUGGGUGAUCUGCCUUGCACUCCGGGAUAAGCUUGGGAAACUGGGUCUAAUACCGGAUAUUGCAAGAUGAGCUCGCGGCCUAUCAGCUCGUUGGUGGGGUAAUGGCCUACCAAGGCGUCGACGGGUAGCCGGCCUGAGAGGGUGUACGGCAACAUUGGGACUUGGAUGCGAGCCAGAGUCCGACGGGAGGCAGGAGUGGGGAAUAAUGCGCGAUGGGCGGAAGCCGGAUGCAGCGGCGCCGCGUGGGGGAUGACGGGCUUCGGGUUGUAAACUCCUGUCGACGGAGGCGCGGUACCUGUAAAGGAAGCGCCGGCUAACUACGUGCCAGCAGCCGCGGUAAUUC